rnacentral:ncRNA from 1 species
GUGCUUCUAAAAAGGAGAGCUAGUUUGCAUCUCCCUGUACAAGGAUGGAAUCAACCUUCUUGGGAGUGGACUAACUUGUUGGGCAGCCAAGAUUGAUU